GAUGAACGCUGGCGGCGUGCCUAACACAUGCAAGUCGAACGGAGUUUAUAAUAUGAAGUUUUCGGAUGGAUUACUAUAAACUUAGUGGCGGACGGGUGAGUAACGCGUGGGUAACCUGCCUCAUACAGGGGGAUAACAGUUGGAAACGGCUGCUAAAACCGCAUAACAUUGCGAUGCCGCAUGGCGAUGCAAUUAAAUAUUUAUAGGUAUGAGAUGGGCCCGCGUCUGAUUAGCUAGUUGGUGAGGUAAUGGCUCACCAAGGCGACGAUCAGUAGCCGGCUUGAGAGAGUGACCGGCCACAUUGGGACUGAGACACGGCCCAAACUCCUACGGGAGGCAGCAGUGGGGAAUAUUGCACAAUGGGGGAAACCCUGAUGCAGCGACGCCGCGUGAGUGAAGAAGUAUUUCGGUAUGUAAAGCUCUAUCAGCAGGGAAGAAAUUGACGGUACCUGACUAAGAAGCCCCGGCUAACUACGUGCCAGCCGCCGCGGUAA
rnacentral:rRNA from 1 species